GAUUGAUACCCUGGUAGUCCACGCCGUAAACGAUGAGUGCUAGGUGUUAGGCCCUUUCCGGGGCUUAGUGCCGGAGCUAACGCAGUAAGCACUCCGCCUGGGGAGUACGACCGCAAGGUUGAAACUCAAAGGAAUUGACGGGGGCCCGCACAAGCGGUGGAGCAUGUGGUUUAAUUCGAAGCAACGCGAAGAACCUUACCAGGUCUUGACAUCCCGAUGCUAUUCUUAGAGAUAGGAAGUUACUUCGGUACAUCGGAGACAGGUGGUGCAUGGUUGUCGUCAGCUCGUGUCGUGAGAUGUUGGGUUAAGUCCCGCAACGAGCGCAACCCUUAUUGUUAGUUGCCAUCAUUAAGUUUGGCACUCUAGCGAGACUGCCGGUAAAAACCGGAGGAAGGUGGGGAUGACGUCAAAUCAUCAUGCCCCUUAUGACCUGGGCUACACACGUGCUACAAUGGUCGGUACAACGAGUUGCGAGUCGGUGACGGCAAGCUAAUCUCUGAAAGCCGAUCUCAGUUCGGAUUGGAGGCUGCAACUCGCCUCCAUGAAGUCGGAAUCGCUAGUAAUCGCGGAUCAGCACGCCGCGGUGAAUACGUUCCCGGGCCUUGUACACACCGCCCGUCACACCACGAGAGUUUGUAACACCCGAAGUCGGUGAGGUAACCUUUUAGGGGCCAGCCGCCUAAAGUGGGAUGGAUGAUUGGGGUGAAGUCGUAACAAGGUACCCGUAA
rnacentral:rRNA from 1 species